rnacentral:rRNA from 1 species
UCGGAAUUACUGGGCGUAAAGCGUGCGUAGGUGGUGAGGUAAGUCUGUCGUGAAAGCCCCGGGCUCAACCUGGGAAUGGCGAUGGAUACUGGCUCGCUAGAGUGCGGUAGAGGAGAGUGGAAUUCCCGGUGUAGCAGUGAAAUGCGUAGAGAUCGGGAGGAACAUCAGUUGCGAAGGCGGCUCUCUGGACCAGCACUGACACUGAGGCACGAAAGCGUGGGGAGCAAACAGG